AUUGAACGCUGGCGGUAUGCUUAACACAUGCAAGUCGAACGGUAGCAUGACUUAGCUUGCUAAGUUGAUGACGAGUGGCGAACGGGUGAGUAACGCGUAGGAAUAUGCCUUAAAGUGGGGGACAACUUGGGGAAACUCAAGCUAAUACCGCAUAAUGUCUAAGGACAAAAGCUGGGGACCUUCGGGCCUGGCGCUUUAAGAUUAGCCUGCGUCCGAUUAGCUAGUUGGUAGGGUAAAGGCCUACCAAGGCGACGAUCGGUAGCUGGUCUGAGAGGAUGACCAGCCACACUGGAACUGAGACACGGUCCAGACUCCUACGGGUGGCUG
rnacentral:rRNA from 1 species